rnacentral:rRNA from 1 species
GAUGAACGCUGGCGGCGUGCCUAAUACAUGCAAGUCGAGCGAACGGACGAGAAGCUUGCUUCUCUGAUGUUAGCGGCGGACAGGUGAGUAACACGUGGCUAACCUACCUAUAAGACUGGGAUAACUUCGGGAAACCGGAGCUAAUACCGGAUAAUAUUUUGAACCGCAUGGUUCAAAAGUGACAGACGGUCUUGCUGUCACUUAUAGAUGGAUCCGCGCUGCAUUAGCUAGUUGGUAAGGUAACGGCUUACCAAGGCAACGAUGCAUAGCCGACCUGAGAGGGUGAUCGGCCACACUGGAACUGAGACACGGUCCAGACUCCUACGGGAGGCAGCAGUAGGGAAUCUUCCGCAAUGGGCGAAAGCCUGACGGAGCAACGCCGCGUGAGUGAUGAAGGUCUUCGGAUCGUAAAACUCUGUUAUUAGGGAAGAACAUAUGUGUAAGUAACUGUGCACAUCUUGACGGUACCUAAUCAGAAAGCCACGGCUAACUACGUG